CCAUAGACGAAAAGUAAAACUCUCACGGAAAACACCGGGGUGUAUUAUUUAUAGCCAAUUGCUGUUACAUAAAAGGUAACUCAUUGGAGACACACGAAAACAUACAUAGUAAAAGUUUGAUGUAUAGAUAAGGCGUAGGGGGUUAACACAUAGAUUUUGAAAAAAAAUCAAAAAAAUAAAAAUUAUAUUUUAUUGCAUAGUUGCAUUCUUCACUAACAUAUGAUGAAGGUGAAAGAGGUUUCGAACCUUUGUUGUCUCCGUUUUCUAAAGAACUAGGUGUCUUCCUGCACCAUGUGUAAAAACUCUCACGGAAAACACCGGGGUGUAUUAUUUAUAGCCAAUUGCUGUUACAUAAAAGGUAACUCAUUGGAGACACACGAAAACAUACAUAGUAAAAGUUUGAUGUAUAGAUAAGGAGGUACAAGGAUACCAAAACCUUGAUACAACAAAAUUGUACGUAAGAUUUAUGAUGAGGAAAAAAGAAAGAAAGCAUAAUAGCGAUAUUCAAAUGACUUGCAUGGAUCAGUCACAAUUAUUUGUGCUUUAACUUCGGGUGAAGUGUACAUAUUCGUAAGGGCCAUUCAGUGAUGAUGUUGCGGGUCAGGUCCUCCCGGUGAAACCCUGUCCGAAUUCACUAGAAAUCUCCUCUCGUUAUGACCUUUGAACUUGGAGAGAUCAAACCCGAGCUCCCGUAGCAGAACAUGACUAUCCAUAGUGCCCAUGUUUGCAACUCGAUCAUCAUGGAGGAUUCGAGCCUGAGUACUAAAGAUUGGUGAUGCAAAUAUGACUAAGAGUAUGAUAAGAGUUUUCUUAAGAAUUAAAUUCGCCAUAACAGGUGAUUAAGGAGAAAAGGUAAAUUGUGGAGUUUGCGAGAGAUCGAGAAAGAGAUAUGCAAAAUGAGAUGAAGCUGAGAGAAUAUGAUGAUUUGUGUGCAAUGAGACUUUUCUAUUUAUAGAUAAAAUUAGAGAGGCAAAAUAUGAUGAAGAUGUUAAGGAUUGAGUAGGUUGGGUCAGUGGAGAGAACAUGAUGGGAUCCACAACAAAAAUGAAAGCCAAAUCUGAGUCAUAUUUUUGUAUUAUAAAACUCAUGCACGGACACACAAAAGCACUAAUUACGAUACAGGUUAUUCAACUGACCCAACGAUCGAACUUCUCAGGUGAACAUCUAUAUUUGAGGGACCAUUAGGAAUUUACUUUACAUGUAUGGUUGAUUAAGGAUUUAAAAAGUUGGACAUAAGUUUUUUUUUGCCAAAUAUGUGAAUGUCAUAUUAAAAUGAUGCUAGUUUGUAAUGUAGAACUAGUUAGAGUCAACUAAAGCAAAAAAGAAUUAAAACAAGUUUGAGUGCAAUGUAGACAGCCUCGUACGCAUGCCCGAGCCACGCGCAUUAGGUGAUCAAAAGCUUUGUUUUCUUGUGUCCAAGGAUAGCAUCAUGGUUGAAUCGAUCCAACUGCUUGAAAAUUCCUUCUGGUGACAGAGCAGUGCCAUUGCGUAGUCUUCUAUUUCGAUUUGCCCGCAAACUAUUAAGGUUUACUAUAGUAUAAUAUAAAAUGUCAACUAGUCCAGACCCAUGUACCAUGAAAGAGAGUUUAAUAUACAUUAAUACAAAUGUAGAAUGUGUUUAGCAAUUUUAAAACAACACUAAAAAUCAUAGACUUCAUUAUAUAGAAUAUUUACCGAAAAUUCAAUAUUUUCGUAGGGGUUAACACAUAGAUUUUGAGAAAAAUUCAAAAAAAUGAAAAUUCUAUUUUAAUGCAUAGUUGCAUCCUUCACUAACAAAUGAUGAAGGUCAAAGAGGUUUGAAACCAUUGUUGUCUCCGUAUUUCUAGAAAAUAGCAAUUUUAUAGUGGUUUAUCAACCAAUAUGGGAGUAUUAUGAAGUUUUACUAAAUUAACUGACAAAAAAUUUAAUCGAUACCCAUGUACCAUGAAAGAGAGUUUAAUAUACUUUAAUACAGAUUUAUAAUGUGUUUAGCAAUUUUAAAACAACACUAAAAAUCUUAGGCUUUGUCAGGUCCUCCCGGUGAAACCCUGUCCGAAUUCACUAGAAAUCUCCUCUCGUUAUGACCUUUGAACUUGGAGAGAUCAAACCCGAGCUCCCGUAGCAGAACAUGACUAUCCAUAGUGCCCA
rnacentral:lncRNA from 1 species